CUUUCCUGCUCACAUUCCUGUAGGUUAUCCUACAGGAUAAAAAGGAAGAAGAGUCCUGGUCAUUUUAAUGAACAAAAUGGAAGAAGAGGAAGAAGUCUGGUUAUCUAGGAAGGACAGAAUCAAUCUAUCCCUUUUCCGGCCAAGCCCUAUGCAGUUCUCAGCUUACACCUGGGCAUACUCCUUCUGUUCACUUGUCAGUUUGGCAUUCUUCAACUCUAAUGGAGCUUUGGUUGCAUGUGGGAAUACGAGGAGGACUGUACAGAGCAGCAGCUGUGGAGCAAGACAAACAGCCUGAGAACCAAGGACACCUCUAGAAGGAGAAAGAACGGCUCACAGCUCGGACUGGAUAAAAAGUGUGUGUGGAAUACUCUCUUGACAUGUAAAGGUGGGCAGGAAAGUUGUAGGGGUGAAUGGUAAAGCUAGGAAAAGGAAACUUGUGAAGGUAUGUAAGUGAUGUGAGAACUUGUAAUAAAUGGUUUGGAUUGUUCA